CCAAACAGUAGUAAUGUUAUGCGACAAUACCACUGCAAGCCUCUCAAAAACCCAACCCCUCGUCCAAGUUGUGGGAGGCGGAAACAGCUGACGUACGGGAUUCCCAGACAGGGCAAAGUUUUGUGGGUGCGCUACGGUUGCCAUGAGGGCCUGUCUGGAUCCACAACAUGCUGGAAAAUGGGGCUCUGGUAAAGCUAGGUGGACCAAUCAUCCGCUUUGUGGAUACUACCGAUUACAGGGGUACCCAGGAUUUCAAGCCGGUGAUGAGCUGCGAUCCAAACCCAAAACCCAGAAACUGGACGUAACUGGUGUGUUUGGAAUGGCGUGCAGGCACGAGCAUCCGCUGAAGUUCCUGAAGAGAGGAGAGAAGCUUGCAAAUACUGUGUUCCUGCUGGGGGACCUGAAAGCAAUGCAGGGACCAAACAUCACAACGUUUCAGCUUUCCAGCUGAAGCCUCAUUUACAGCAAUUUUGGAAAGACUGCAGACUAAGAAGACUCACUGUCUGCUGGCCACAAUCCAUAGGCUGGUCCUGAAGCGCUCUUUCUAUUGUGGCCUGGUCAGAAAGUAUGCAGAUGGACAAACCAUUGCUGUGCGGCUCUCCAGGAAAGUCAGGCGGACCUCGGCGAGAAUUAAACAGCAGAUGAACGCCUACAACGGAAGGAACAAGUCACCUCAAUUCCCCCCAAGACUGGAGUACAGGGAUAUUCUCCAGCAAGACCAUCCAGUCUGAUCUCAGGUGUCCAACCUUGGGGGACAGUCUGCUCCGGAACAAGCAGCGUGCAGUGAUGCUGCAUAACAUGUUGUUGUGGAAAUUCUACACUAUGUCGUGGAAAUUACCACUAGGGACACUCGAAGUCAAUCUUAAAUUAAUCAUCCUUUAUUGUCAGCGCACUGGAGAGGUUCCAACCAACUCAAUGCACCAUAGUGAACGUCUGUCAGAAGCUCUGCUGGGGCAGUCCCUGCAGUUGUCUUAUAUACGGCUAUACACAGGCAAGUUAUAUUUGCAUGAUUUAGGAUAAUAAAUUCAUCAUUACCUUUGUGUUCUAUUCAUGUGACCGACCAAUACUGGUUCAUAACAUGUGAC